AGCACUUUAUGGCGCUCGGUCGACAUCGGACCGAUAACCACUCGAAAAUAAUUUAGAGCGGGUGGUUUUAAAUUUUUCCAUGUGAGUUUAUGGAAGUAGUGAAAACUGUAUAAAUAAUGACAAUGGUUGAAUCAAAAAAGGAAAGUAUUUGAAGUAUUUGGAACGCAAAAUAUGCCACCCUUUGUUUGCAUAAUAAAAAGUGUAAAAAUAAAUACGUGAAACCGGGAAAUUUGAAGAAAAAUUCCAACAAAUUUUAAACCAAAACCAUCAUUUUACUCGUUGCGCCAUCUGGUUGUAAAUCUAACGUAAAUCCGUCAAUUGGUUGACCUAUGCAGCAAAAUUGAUUCUGUCAGGGGGUUUACCGAUUCAAUUCACAGUUGUAUCCAACACAUAUUUCGAAAUGUUUCGCAAAGCAAAGUAUCAGGGUUGCAAACCAAACCCAACUGACUGGGUUGUAACAAGCAAAUCAAAUACCUCUCAUCGCUUGCCUUCACUGACGAACUAACGAAAUUCUCAUCGACUCGAAAUACAUACAAGAGCCAAUGCUCUUGUCAAAGAAGCAGGUAAACUAACCGACGUCUUUUGGAAACCAUACCCAUAUGUUACAACUGCGAGUUUUGAAUUAUUCCGAAGAAUUGUCGAGAACCUAGUCCUCGAUGCAACCCAAGUGAACCAUGUUUAGUUAUACUGAGAACGAAGGACUUUGCCAGAUGCAAGAUCAUUACUGUCGCCUGAGGGCGACAUUCAACUGAACCACUAAUUCACUGAUGGAAACAAUUGAAAAUAAAUAAAACUAUAAAUCACCUCUACAAACUAUAUUUUAUUUAAUAACAGCUAUAAAAUGUCAGUAGUACUCAUUUAUAACAAUUACAGUGAAUUAGCGGUACAAUAUAUCUACAAUUGCAUUCUACAAAACACUCUGAACGUUGGCCAUUAGAACAGAUUUAUUGAGCUACAGAAUAAAUCCAGAAAAAACACUACAGAUUGGGACUACCACAAUUUUCGAGGUUUUCUUCCAUUGCCGAAACAUGGCCCGUGGUUAAAUCUUGCACUCUAUCACGCCUUAAUCCAUCCCGGGUAUGAUGUUUAUACAUGAUGCUGUACCUUGCACUGCCUUAAUGCCUCAUUGAAUCCUUCGCAUAGCGUUAUGUCAUGUUGAUUCUGGGCGCAGGACAGGAAUUGCUUGAUCUCCCAGGCACACGGUCCCGACGGGGUGCUAGCCUCUGAACCAGCCAUUGGAGCGUAUUGUUGGACCGGAGCGGCCUGGGCAACCGGUGCCGCCUCCUUCGAAUCCGAUCCACUGAACAUUCCAGUGAUAGCAUGCCCAACAGUAUGACCGACAGCGGAACCAAUUGCAACUCCACCAGCGGUAGCGGCCAUUUGGGCCAUCAAUCCAGGUCCCUGGCUAGGAGCUGCCAUCGGUGCACCAACGGCUGCCGGGGGAGCAUGCUGGACAACAGGUUGUGUAGGGGCAUGACGAGGUGGAGCAGACGCGGCAGGUGG